CAAAAACAUCUCUUUCCUCUGAGAGACUGAAGUCAUGCUGUCACACUGCUUUUUGUUUGACAAGUGUAUAGUAACUUCAAUGCUGUAGAAGUCACAAUCACAGACAUCUUGAACGGUAAAAGUUUUACAGAUAUUCAAAACACAACUGGACAAGGUCUUGAGCAACUUGAAUUGAUCCAACCCAAACGCUUGGGC